rnacentral:rRNA from 1 species
AGGACGAACGCUGGCGGCGUGCUUAACACAUGCAAGUCGAACGGUGAAGGGACUGGCUUUUGUUGGUUCUGGAUGAGUGGCGAACGGGUGAGUAACACGUGAGUAACCUGCCCCCUUCUUCUGGAUAACCGCAUGAAAGUGUGGCUAAUACGGGAUAUUCUGGGUCUGUCGCAUGACGGGCCCGGGAAAGAUAUUGUUUCGGUGGGGGAUGGGCUCGCGGCCUAUCAGCUUGUUGGUGGGGUGAUGGCCUACCAAGGCGGUGACGGGUAGCCGGCCUGAGAGGGUGGACGGUCACACUGGGACUGAGACACGGCCCAGACUCCUACGGGAGGCAGCAGUGGGGAAUAUUGCACAAUGGGCGCAAGCCUGAUGCAGCGACGCCGCGUGAGGGAUGGAGGCCUUCGGGUUGUAAACCUCUUUACGCCAGUGAAGCAGGCCUGCUCCUGUGGUGGUUGACGGUAGCUGGAUAAGAAGCGGCCGCUAACGUGCGUGCC